rnacentral:rRNA from 1 species
CUCAGUCUAGUUAGCAAUUAUACCGUGAAACUGCGAAUGGCUCAUUAAAUCAGUUAUCGUUUAUUUGAUAGUACCUUACUACUUGGAUAACCGUGGUAAUUCUAGAGCUAAUACAUGCUGAAAACCCCGACUUCGGGAGGGGUGUAUUUAUUAGAUAAAAAACCAACGCCCUUCGGGGCUUCUUGGUGAUUCAUGAUAACUUCACGGAUCGCAUGGCCUUGCGCCGGCGACGGUUCAUUCAAAUUUCUGCCCUAUCAACUUUCGAUGGUAAGGUAUUGGCUUACCAUGGUUUCAACGGGUAACGGGGAAUUAGGGUUCGAUUCCGGAGAGGGAGCCUGAGAAACGGCUACCACAUCCAAGGAAGGCAGCAGGCGCGCAAAUUACCCAAUCCCGACACGGGGAGGUAGUGACAAUAAAUACUGAUACAGGGCUCUUUUGGGUCUUGUAAUUGGAAUGAGUACAAUUUAAACCUCUUAACGAGGAACAAUUGGAGGGCAAGUCUGGUGCCAGCAGCCGCGGUAAUUCCAGCUCCAAUAGCGUAUAUUAAAGUUGUUGCAGUUAAAAAGCUCGUAGUUGAAACUUGGGCCUGGCUGGCAGGUCCGCCUCACCGCGUGUACUUGUCCGGCCGGGCCUUUCCUUCUGGAGAACCUCAUGCCCUUCACUGGGUGGUGUUGGGGAACCAGGACUUUUACUUUGAAAAAAUUAGAGUGUUCAAAGCAGGCCUUUGCUCGAAUACGUUAGCAUGGAAUAAUAGAAUAGGACGUGCGGUCCUAUUUUUGUUGGUUUCUAGGACCGCCGUAAUGAUUAAUAGGGACAGUCGGGGGCAUCAGUAUUCAAUUGUCAGAGGUGAAAUUCUUGGAUUUAUUGAAGACUAACUACUGCGAAAGCAUUUGCCAAGGAUGUUUUCAUUAAUCAGUGAACGAAAGUUAAGGGGAUCGAAGACGAUCAGAUACCGUCGUAGUCGUAACCGUAAACUAUGCCGACUAGGGAACGGGCCGA